GACGAACGCUGGCGGCGUGCUUAACACAUGCAAGUCGAACGGUGAAGGGACUGGUUUUGCUGGUCCUGGAUGAGCGGCGAACGGGUGAGUAACACGUGAGUAACCUGCCCCCUUCUUCUGGAUAACCGCAUGAAAGUGUGGCUAAUACGGGAUAUUCUGGGUCUGUCGCAUGGUGGGCCUGGGAAAGAUUGCGCCUUUUUUGGUGUUUUUGGUGGGGGAUGGGCUCGCGGCCUAUCAGCUUGUUGGUGGGGUGAUGGCCUACCAAGGCGGUGACGGGUAGCCGGCCUGAGAGGGUGGACGGUCACAAUGGGACUGAGACACGGCCCAGACUCCUACGGGAGGCAGCAGUGGGGAAUAUUGCACAAUGGGCGCAAGCCUGAUGCAGCGACGCCGCGUGAGGGAUGGAGGCCUUCGGGUUGUGAACCUCUUUCGCCAGUGAAGCAGGCCUGCCUCUUUUUGUGGGUGGGUUGACGGUAGCUGGAUAAGAAGCGCCGGCUAACUACGUG
rnacentral:rRNA from 1 species